CACGUAGGGUGCGAGCGUUGUCCGGAAUUAUUGGGCGUAAAGAGCUCGUAGGCGGUGUGUCGCGUCGGCCGUGAAAACCUGCAGCUUAACUGUGGGCUUGCGGUCGAUACGGGGCAUCACUGGAGUUCGGCAGGGGAGACUGGAAUUCCUGGUGUAGCGGUGAAAUGCGCAGAUAGUCAGGAGGAACACCGGUGGCGAAGGCGGGUCUCUGGGCCGAUACUGACGCUGAGGAGCGAAAGCGUGGGGAGCAAACGGG
rnacentral:rRNA from 1 species